rnacentral:rRNA from 1 species
CAGUCCCGCGGUAAUACAGAGGGUGCAAGCGUUAAUCGGAUUUACUGGGCGUAAAGCGUGCGUAGGUGGCUGUUUAAGUCGGAUGUGAAAGCCCUGGGCUUAACCUGGGAACUGCAUUCGAUACUGGAUAGCUAGAGAUCGGUAGAGGGCAGCGGAAUUCCGGGUGUAGCGGUGAAAUGCGUAGAUAUCCGGAGGAACACCGAUGGCGAAGGCAACUGCCUGGGCCUGAUCUGACACUGAGGCACGAAAGCGUGGGUAGCAAACAGGAUUAGAUACCCCCGUAGUCCCUGUCUAUUAUACA